GUGUUACACUGUAAGAGUAAUAAAAGUUUUUGAUUUUGAUUUGUUUUUCUCGGAAGGCGCUCAGUACCAAUUAUUUAAAUUACGAACAAUAAAACUUGGUGAGCACACCAAAGGAGAAACAUAUCAUGGAAAAAGGCACAGUAAAGUGGUUUAACGGAGAAAAGGGUUACGGAUUCAUCACACGCGAAAGCGGCGAAGAUGUAUUUGCACACUUCUCAGCAAUCCAAGGCGACGGCUUCAAGACUCUUGACGAAGGUCAAGCAGUUACAUUUGACGUUGAAACUUCAGACCGCGGUUUGCAAGCAACAAACAUCACAAAGGGUUAAUUUCUUUUGGAACACACAACUUAUAUAAGUUGUGUGUUUUU
rnacentral:misc_RNA from 1 species